rnacentral:rRNA from 1 species
AGGACGAACGCUGGCGGCGCGCCUAACACAUGCAAGUCGAGCGAGAACCGGGGCUUCGGUCCCGGGGACAGCGGCGAACGGGUGCGUAACACGUGAGCAACCUGCCCCGAAGACCGGGACAACCCGAGGAAACUCGGACUAAUACCGGAUGUCCUCACCGGAUCGCAUGGUCUGGUGAGGAAAUGGAUUCCGCUUUGGGAUGGGCUCGCGGUCUAUCAGCUUGUUGGUGGGGUAACGGCCUACCAAGGCGACGACGGAUAGCUGGUCUGAGAGGACGAUCAGCCACACUGGGACUGAGACACGGCCCAGACUCCUACGGGAGGCAGCAGUGGGGAAUCUUGCGCAAUGGGGGAAACCCUGACGCAGCGACGCCGCGUGCGGGAUGAAGGCCUUCGGGUUGUAACCGCUUUCAGCAGGGACGAAAUUGACGGUACCUGCAGAAGAAGGCCCGGCCAACUACGUGCCAGCAGCCGC